CAUAAAAGAACUAAUUGAAAGGAGAGUUUAUUUACUCAUAGAAUGAAAGGUGAGAACUUUUUAGAUCAAAAAGCUUAUUUUGAGCCUAAUUGAACAUCGCCAAAACAUACAUGGACAGAAUUGAGCUUUAUUCCAAAUAACAUUCGAGUUCAUCAUGGAUCAUAUUCUACCAGCUGAUACAAACUUCAUCGUGAAAUUAUAGGUUGUCGGUGGAGUUUCAAUUAAUAGAGAAUUUUCUUCUCCCCUCGGCGCCGAAGGGCACGCCUUUUAACCAAAAGUGAAGUUGCAAGCUUCACAUGCCGAAAGGUCAAAGAGAUAAGAAACACAUCGGCAUAACUUUAGAUACCAUGCGUACCAGUCAUUGACCAAUCCUUCAUCUUGGGGCUGAGGGGAGGGGGGUGUGGUCAAAUUCACUGCUGCUUUUAGAAGGUUACAGCGACUACUGCAGUACAAAAUAUUCACCAUAUGAAUGUGUGUAUUAAUUCCAAUUGGUGGUCUUCCAGGACUUUAAUUACAGCAGAUCCGACCCAAGCAAUCAUCUUGAAUCAUGUCUUAAGUUUUACAGAUACAGACAGUGUAGUCUCGUUAACAUGGUGAACUGCAAAAAUUUUGAUGUACAAAAAUAGGUAAUGACACAUUAAAUAGUGCAAUCAGAAUUCAUGUGUCAAGCACAAAUUGCUUGGGUGAUUCCUGUAACAUUUUAUUACUAUGGUGCCUUGUGAUUUCGAAAACUGGCACUGAAUAAUUUUCUCAUAUAGAGGAAAUUUCAUCCUCUGUAUUAUUUCAACAGCCUAUGAUGAUGAAAAGUCUCUAGAUGAUGAAAAGUCUCUAGCUAAGUGCUAAUCUUCUAAAGCUGGUAUUAUGUCCAUUAAUGAACUUUUUGAAACUUUGAUUUCUUAAUUCUUUAGCAUAAAUUAGAAGGCUUAGGCAAUUUAGAUAAAGUCAGGCUGGCCUGUCGAAGUCAAGCAACGAUGCCACAUCCGGCUGUUAGGGUCUACAGCCCUGGGAUGAGAAAUAACUUCAGGAAUGGGAAAGUAGACGUAGUGAGUGUUGCAUAUUCCUACAGUAAUUCCGCUAUAUCCGGCAAAUGCACCAUGGACAGCAUUUUGUCCAAGAACAGUACAUAAGAUUCCAUCUGAUGCAUUUGCACGACAUGCACGGAUCAUGUAUGUUGGAUCAAUAUACUUCACAUCAACAUGAACACCAAUCUCCUUAAAAUAUUUUUUUGUCUCUUGUUGAAUGUGCACCCCAAUGUCUCCAAGCACAAUGUUUCCGGAUGCAUCAGUAGCAUUAGUUUUCUCCAGGAAAUUCUGUCCAGCUCCCUCUGCUACACAAACCACAGCUGAUCCCUUUGUUUCAAUUAGGUAUUUCAAAUGCCUCAAAACACCAUGAGGCCCAUGUAAAUGAAAUGGUACCUCGGGAAUCAAACAUAUGUCAAUUUGUCCACUAGCUAGGGCUGCAUGCAUGGCUAUAAAUCCACUGCUACGACCCAUCAAUUUCACAACUCCAAUACCAUGAUAAGCGCUAUGUGCCUCAAUGUAUGCAGAAUUUAUUGCUCGCUGUGCUUCUUCAACAGCAGUGUCAAAACCAAAAGUUUUAUCCAUCAACAAAAUAUCGUUGUCUAUAGUUUUUGGAACACCAACUACAGCCACUUUCAACCUUCGUUUACGGCACUCAUUGUGUAUUGCAUUAGCUCCAGCAUGUGUACCAUUCCCACCUAACACAAAAAGCAUGUUGAUUCCUUUUUCCUCCAUUCUGUCCACCAUGUCACUAACACUCGGUCCUCCACGUGAAACUCCUAACAAGCUUCCACCAGAAAGAUGAAUAUUUUGAACUACUUUCCUUGAUAGCGGCAUUUCACUCAAAUCAUUGUCAGAAAAUCCUCGAUAACCAAAAGGAAUCCCAACUAUCUUUUUGACACCAUAUAUUUCAAGUGUGAUGACAAUCUGUCUGAUGACAUCAUUGAGACCAGGGCAUAAACCACCACAAGUUACAAUUGCUGCCUUCACUUCUUCAGGUUUGAAGUAUAUUUUCUCCCGAGGCCCAGCACGAUGAACCCAUUGUUCAACCCAAGUACAAUCAGGAUCAAUGCACUCAGCUCCGGCAGAUGUCGGAGACGAGAAAUGUAUGACCUUCAAAAGCACCCUGUCAUUAUUGUUAAUGUAGCCAUGCCACUCCUCAUCAGAUGGAUAACCACCAGCAAAAUCCUCCGACACCGGAGUCCUCAUCUUGAGACAGAAUGUAGAGGGAAUAGGCGCAGCAUCAGGAAAUAUAUCAGUGAUAUGAGGGAUAUUAAAUCUCCGUUGAAAAUCCGUCUGGUACUUGAUUUUCCAAUCAGGAUCACUGAAAUCAAUCGCGGGACUCUGCUUCCAAAUUUCCGCGAAUACACCACUCCGCUUGGGGAUUCUACUUGACCUGAACCUCGGAACGCGAGAAUUGGGGAAGGAGAAGCCAUGGGAACGAUGACAGUGAAGGGAAGGUCUGGUGCGCGGGAGAGAAGUGAAUUUGGGGGCGGCGAUCGCAGAAUGCGAGAUAGAGUCCAUGAAACGCGGAGAUUUCCAAGUCUUUUCGACUUCAAGUAAAAGCAAGGGUGUUUGGAAUGUGGAGAGCUAAUGUAGUGGAAGAAAGCGAAGAGAACGAGGGAGGGAAGGAGGGAGGGAGCUGUGGCAUUAAUGGGCUCCUCUUCUCCUCUUCCUCUCAUUAUUUUCUUUCUCGCGCUAUUGUUCGUGAUUCUCCUUGGUGCCUCUCAUGCCUCCACUCUCAAAGGUGUUGAUCUUGGAAAUCCAAUCAUAGGUGCCAUUCCAUCCUUCCUCAAUGGACGUUUGCCUAGCCGAAGUUUUAAAGAUGUUUUAUAUUGUGAGCGAGCUAAAGUGAAUGGUCACUCGAGAUUCCAGCUUGGAAGUUAUGCUAGUUCCUUUCGAGUUACUUUGGCUCCAGCUGCAGUAAUCCCAGAGAGAUUGCAUAGCAAAAUUCAAGUUUGUUUUCACCGGAAUGCUUCGCUUGGAUUAUGUCAUUGUGAGAAGGAUGAGUGGAAAUCUAUUCAAAAGGGUCUGUGGAGAUCUAUCAUGUCUCCUUACGAGGGGAGAUAUGUUGAUGUGAAGUUCAUAAGUGAAAUUUCUGGUUCUGUCAGUAUCUCUGUUGAAGAAGAUUUUCAGAAAUGGCGCCUCCUGUGUCUAGCAGUGGGAUUUCUGUUAUUAUUGCUCGCUCCAAUAGUCAGCAGUUGGGUUCCUUUUUAUUAUAGCACCUCAAUGGCUAUUGGUGUUUUCCUUGUUGUUAUAAUCCUUCUUUUCCAGGGAAUGAAAUUAUUGCCAACUGGAAGGAAAAAUUUCUUCUAUCUUUCCAUAUAUGGAUCAGUGCUUGGAGCUGGCACUUUUGUUUUACAUCACAUUUCGGUGCUGGUAAAUUCCAUUCUCAUCAACUUUGGGCUGAGUGAAGAGAUGCACAAUCCAGUCUAUGUAUUUGUGUUAGUGGGGAUUGUUCUCGCAGGAGCUGCUUUAGGUUACUGGAUAGUGAGGAAAUUUGUGAUCUCAAAAGAUGGAAGUGUGGACGUUGGUGUAGCCCAGUUUGUGAAAUGGGCAAUGCGCAUCAUUGCAACCACCAUUAUAAUGCAGGUGCGGAAUUCUGUUCAUUUUGUUUGUGUUGCUUGAUAUUGUACUAAUGGUGUGUCUGUGAUUGCUUGGAUGCCCCACACAUGAAUGAUGAAAAUUUAUACAACUGCAGCAAGUCAGCAACUGUUUUGGCAUUUUAUAGCUGUUGCUGUGCCUUGAGCUAGAUGGAGUCAUGGACUCUCUUAAAUAUGGGAGGUGCAUCUUGGGAUUAUGUUGGACAGUGAAGUUAAAAUGUAUGAAUACUAUUUUUAUUUUUUAGGUUGCAUGACAUGUACCUGAAAUAUAUGAUGUCAUUUGUUCAGUUAUUUUGGAGUUUGCAUGUGGGUCUGCAAUUUGGGUGGAUUUAAUGCGACCAAGUACCAACCUGAGCCUGAAACUGGCUUUCCUGAACCCAUACCGCCUUACCUCUUAUGUGUGUGUUAAGUGAUGCAGUAGAUAAUUCUAACUUGAUGAAUCAUACAAUAUGGUUUAGCUUCCUUUCUUCUCAACCUUGUUUAAUACAGAGAAUUAGAAAUUAGCAACUCUGUUUUAGUUUGUAUAGCCAGGUCUUGUUAACUGGUUGGAGCUUACUUGGGUCUGCUUGUCUUCUAAGGUGCAGUUCUUUGCUACUGCUUUGAAUUCUUGCUGGUAAUAUUGCAUUGAUGUCUGCCUUGAUGCAGCACAGAUUUGCAAAAUGCAACAAGCCAACAAGUCAUUUCAUAGCAUCAGACAGUAACCGUGCUACCUUUCCAUUCUCACUUCCCAACCUGCACAAUCUGGUUUGCUACCAUGUUUGUGCUAUAUAUAUAAAGGAAUUUUGAUUUUGAUGCUUAGCGAUCUUAUUGGUUGAGAUUAUCAAUUGGUUUUAGUUAUUUCAGGGAUGGCUCGUCUCACCCAGUAGGUGGGAACGAUUCAGAUUAAUCAGCUUUAUUUAUUUAUUUUUUUGGUUUCCUCGUUUAAUUUUCAUAACUAACCUUUUAUUUUCUUGUUUUGUUGUUUUUUAACAGAGCACUAUUGAUGCUCCUUUAGCAAUGGUUACCUUGAUUUCUUUGUAUACUGUCUGCUUUCUUAUCCAUGCAUGGAGGCAGCGACAUCUAGUGUAAGUUCCCAUGAAUUCCCUUUACUACAGUUUCUUUCAUAAAAGUCCUACAGUCUACAGAGAAUGGGGGAUCCUGCUGGAGGGCUAUUGACCUAUAUAUGGUAAAUUGAAAUUUUAUUUUCCAAAAUAUGAACUUUUUGAAAAUCUUUUUCAAAAUGUGGUGAAUUCUGCCAUGUGAUGAUCCACUUAACCAAGAUUGAUGGUUUGAAUGUUGACGAGAUAUGGGCCACGGAAAAUCUUCCUCUGCUCAAAGUCCAUGUGUAAGUGUCGACUUCCCAUGUUCACAUGGUAGAAACUGUCAAUCCUGUUUAAAUGUUUAUGACAUUGGCAGAAUUCACCAUAUGUUAAAGAAAUACUUUCAAAAGUCUCAUAAAAAGUUAAAAUAAAUUUUCAAUUUACCAUAUAGGGAUCAACAGCCCCCUGCUGGAGCACUGUUAUUUCUAUAACUAGGUUUCUGGCAUAUGUAAUUGAUGGGAUAUAAAAUCUAAACCAAAAAUUGCCUUGUCCAACAAAAUUAGUGAUGUGGAUGGACUCUGCAUUGGGAUGGCUGAAGUUGAUUAUCACCCUCCUUCAGUAGAGAAUUGGAAUGGAUAUUGAAAAGUGGUCAAAUGAUUGGGGUUGCUUCAGAUGAUAUGAAAAAGGAGACAGUAUGUCCAAUUAUGAAUCAUUCGUGACAAGCUUCUUAGGGUUUUCAAAUUUUCAUUUAAUCUAAUUUCAUUUUGAUCUUCUACUUUUGCAUACAACUUGGUUUCAUGAAGGCGUCAAUCAUAUUCUCGGGGUGGAAGGCCUUGGCUCCAACAGGGAAGAGAGGCAAUAGCAAAGCAUAAUCAUGCUGAAUUCCUUAGCAGAUCAAUGAAAAUGAGCCCUGGAAGGAAGAUGUGGAGUAGCUUAAAAAGCUCAUCUGCUUGGUCCCACUCUCCUGUAAAAGGUAUUACUUCAAUUUUUUUUUUUUGCUGGUAUUAAUCAGCUCUUCCCUUGCUUGUACUUGUUUACUACCCUAUUUUGCACCAAUGCUGAAAAGAAAAAAAAGAAAUUCGUAUACAAUCCCUUUAGAAAGGAAUUGCCCCUUGAAGCUUUUAAUUGCAGAACAGAUCCAGUAUCCAGUUAAUUUCCUUGCACAUCUCUUUCUUCCUCUAUUUGCUGUUGCAUGGAUGUAUUUAUCUCGUGUAGUAAUAAUAUACUUUUCAAAUGUAUUUGAUGCUUGUAUACCUUUGGUUUUUGUCAUUUCAUAUCACCUUCCAAUUUGUAUUGUGCUUUUCUUGGCUUUUAACAGGUUUAUUACAACCUGUUACUUGUGCUGGGACAAGAGAUCAGCAGGUUUAUUUGUCAACCUUCCACAAGACGCAAAAACGAAAGAGGUUCACAAAAGAAGAGUGGGAGGAUUUUACAAGGGAAUCAACCCAGCAAGCUGUAGCAGAAUGGGCAUCAUCACCAGAAGUUGCUAAUUGGAUCAUUGAGAAUGCUGACCGAAUUCAACUCCUGCCAAGUGAUUGCAGUUCUGAAGAGACAGUGGAAAGUGAAUCAGACUCCACAAAUGAGACUGUUGGUGGGAGUGGCAAGCAAUUUAACUUGUUUAAUUGGUAGCAACCGGAGUUGAAAGACAGUAGCAAUCAGAGAUCUAAUUCAUUCGGAAUAUGGUGGGGAGUAGCAAAGAUUUUGGAACAUUACCCUCGUUUGUUACACCAUCAAGCAACGGCAGUGAGUCUUGCAGCAGUUUUUUCCCGUCUCAUGUUUAGCUUGUUUCCAUAAUUAGCUGAUGUAAUUUCUCUCUCCUCCUGAAUAUUGACCGUACUGGAAGGUACCAACACUUCUCCACACAAACUUGGAAAGGGUUUGUAGAUUAUUGUUUUGAAGAAUGUAUAUUAAAAAGGAAAAAAAUGCAGUCUCUAAUCCAUUGAAUUCCCGUUUUAUUUCAACGGAAGCUUGGUACAACAUCAGCAGGAAAAAUGGUUUUCAGAUUUGCUCUAGGAAUUGUUGGAGUUGAUUAGAGACUCCACGGUGGUUCUUGUUGGUCUUUGCUGGUUGAAGGGUACAACGGUGUAGAGCUGUACACGUGGUCGGUUUGGAAUUUUUUUCCUAAUAUGCCAUAUUAUUUAAUUUUUAUUUGUUGAGUUAGAAAUGGAAUUCGACCUCUAAAAAUGUUAGGAGAUUGAAAUCUUGAAGAUGUAUGGUGG
rnacentral:misc_RNA from 1 species